AGUGAACGCUGGCGGUAGGCCUAACACAUGCAAGUCGAACGGCAGCACAGUAAGAGCUUGCCCUUACGGGUGGCGAGUGGCGGACGGGUGAGGAAUACAUCGGAAUCUACUUUUUCGUGGGGGAUAACGUAGGGAAACUUACGCUAAUACCGCAUACGACCUACAGGUGAAAGCAGGGGAUCUUCGGACCUUGCGCGAUUGAAUGAGCCGAUGUCGGAUUAGCUAGUUGGCGGGGUAAAGGCCCACCAAGGCGACGAUCCGUAGCUGGUCUGAGAGGAUGAUCAGCCACACUGGAACUGAGACACGGUCCAGACUCCUACGGGAGGCAGCAGUGGGGAAUAUUGGACAAUGGGCGCAAGCCUGAUCCAGCCAUACCGCGUGGGUGAAGAAGGCCUUCGGGUUGUAAAGCCCUUUUGUUGGGAAAGAAAAGCAGCAGGUUAAUACCCCGCUGUUCUGACGGUACCCAAAGAAUAAGCACCGGCUAACUUCGUG
rnacentral:rRNA from 1 species